CCUAUACUGCGAGUGAAGCGGGAAAAGCUCAAAUUUAAAAUCUGACAGUCUUUGAUUGUCCGAGUUGUAAUCUAGAGAAGUAUUAUCCGCACUGAACCAUGUAUAAGUCUUCUGGAAUGGAGUGUCAUAGAGGGUGAGAAUCCCGUCUUUGACAUGGACUACCAGUGCUUUGUGAUAUGCUCUCAAAGAGUCGAUGUUGUUUGGGAAUGCAGCUCUAAAUGGGUGGUAAAUUCCAUCUAAAGCUAAAUAUUGGCAAGAGACCGAUAGCGAACAAGUACCGUGAGGGAAAGAUGAAAAGAACUUUGGAAAGAGAGUUAAACAGUACGUGAAAUUGUUGAAAGGGAAACGCUUGAAGUCAGUCACAUUAACUAGAAAUCAACCUUGCACAUCGCCUGGUGUAUUUUCUGGCUUUAAUGGGUCAGCAUCAAUUUUGACCAGUGGAAAAAGGUCAAGGGAAUGUAGCAUCCUCGGAUGUGUUUAUAGCCUUUGAUUGUAUACAUUGGUUGGGAUUGAGGAACUCAGCACUUGUUGUUUAGGAUGCUGGCAUAAUGGCUUUAAUCGACCCGUCUUGAAACACGGACCAAGGAGUCUAACAUGCCUGCGAGUGUUUGGGUGGAAAACUCAAGCGCAUAAUGAAAGUGAAAGUUGGGAUCUCUGUCAUGGAGAGCACCGACACCCAGACCUGACCUUCUGUGACGGAUCUGCGGUAGAGCAUGUAUGUUGGGACCCGAAAGAUGGUGAACUAUGCCUGAAUAGGGUGAAGCCAGAGGAAACUCUGGUGGAGGCUCGUAGCGAUUCUGACGUGCAAAUCGAUCGUCGAAUUGGGUAUAGGG
rnacentral:rRNA from 1 species